UACGUAGGAGGCAAGCGUUUGUCCGGAAUCAUUGGGCGUAAAGCGCACGUAGGCGGUUCGUUAUGUCGGAUGUGAAAGCCCUUGGCUUAACCGAGGAAGUGCAUCCGAAACUGGCGAGCUAGAGUACUAAAGAGGAUCGCGGAAUUCCCGGUGUAGAGGUGAAAUUCGUAGAUAUCGGGAGGAACACCGGUGGCGAAGGCGGCGAUCUGGGUAGAUACUGACGCUGAGGUGCGAAAGCGUGGGGAGCAAACAGG
rnacentral:rRNA from 1 species